UACGUAGGUGGCGAGCGUUGUCCGGAUUUAUUGGGUUUAAAGGGUGCGUAGGCGGUUUUGUAAGUCAGUGCUGAAAUAUCCCGGCUUAACCGGGAGGGUGGCAUUGAUACUGCAGGACUUGAGUAAAGUUGAGGUGGGCGGAAUUGACGGUGUAGCGGUGAAAUGCUUAGAUAUCGUCAAGAACACCGAUUGCGAAGGCAGCUCACUAAGCUUUAACUGACGCUGAGGCACGAAAGUGUGGGGAUCAAACAGG
rnacentral:rRNA from 1 species